rnacentral:rRNA from 1 species
UUUAAAGUUUUUUUUUUCGGUUCAGGAUGAACGCUAGCUACAGGCUUAACACAUGCAAGUCGAGGGGCAGCAUGAACUUAGCUUGCUAAGUUUGAUGGCGACCGGCGCACGGGUGAGUAACACGUAUCCAACCUGCCGAUGACUCGGGGAUAGCCUUUCGAAAGAAAGAUUAAUACCCGAUGGCAUAGUUCUUCCGCAUGGUAGAAGUAUUAAAGAAUUUCGGUCAUCGAUGGGGAUGCGUUCCAUUAGGUUGUUGGCGGGGUACCGGCCCACCAAGCCUUCGAUGGAUAGGGGUUGUGAGAGGAAGGUCCCCCACAUUGGAACUGAGACACGGUCCAAACUCCUGCGGGAGGCAGCAGUGAGGAAUAUUGGUCAAUGGACGAGAGUCUGAACCAGCCAAGUAGCGUGAAGGAUGACUGCCCUAUGGGUCGUAAACUUCUUUUAUACGGGAAUAAAGUGAGGCACGCGUGCCUUUUUGUAUGUACCGUAUGAAUAAGGAUCGGCUAACUCCGUGCCAGCAGCCGCGGUAAUACGGAGGAUCCGAGCGUUAUCCGGAUUUAUUGGGUUUAAAGGGAGCGUAGGCGGACGCUUAAGUCAGUUGUGAAAGUUUGCGGCUCAACCGUAAAAUUGCAGUUGAUACUGGGUGUCUUGAGUACAGUAGAGGCAGGCGGAAUUCGUGGUGUAGCGGUGAAAUGCUUAGAUAUCACGAAGAACUCCGAUUGCGAAGGCAGCUUGCUGGACUGUAACUGACGCUGAUGCUCGAAAAUAUCAC